rnacentral:rRNA from 1 species
GACGAACGCUGGCGGCGUGCUUAACACAUGCAAGUCGAACGGAAAGGCCCUGCUUUUGUGGGGUGCUCGAGUGGCGAACGGGUGGGUAACACGUGAGUAACCUGCCUUUGACUUUGGGAUAACUUCAGGAAACUGGGGCUAAUAACGGAUAGGAGCUCCUGCUGCAUGGCGGGGGGGGGAAAGUUUCGGCGGUUGGGGAUGGACGCGCGGCUUAUAAGCUGGUGGGUGGGGUAGUGGCGUACGAAGGCUUUGACGGGGAGCCGGACUGAGAGGGUGACCGGCCACAGUGGGACUGAGGUACGGCCCGGACUGCUACGGGAGGCAGCAGUGGGGAAUAUUGCACGAUGGGCGGAAGCCUGAUGCAGCAACGCCGCGUGCUGGAUGACGGCCUUCGGGUUGUAAACCGCUUUCGCCUAUGACGAAGCGUGAGUGACGGUAAUGGGUAAAGAAGCACCGGCUAACUACGUG